rnacentral:rRNA from 1 species
GACGAACGCUGGCGGCGUGCUUAACACAUGCAAGUCGAACGGAAAGGCCCCCUUGUGGGGUACUCGAGUGGCGAACGGGUGAGUAACACGUGAGUAACCUACCCUUGACUUUGGGAUAACUUCAGGAAACUGGGGCUAAUACCGGAUAGGAGCUCCUGCUGCAUGGUGGGGGUUGGAAAGUUUCGGCGGUUGGGGAUGGACUCGCGGCUUAUCAGCUUGUUGGUGGGGUAGUGGCUCACCAAGGCUUUGACGGGUAGCCGGCCUGAGAGGGUGACCGGCCACAUUGGGACUGAGAUACGGCCCAGACUCCUACGGGAGGCAGCAGUGGGGAAUACUGCACAAUGGGCGGAAGCCUGAUGCAGCAACGCCGCGUGCGGGAUGACGGCCUUCGGGUUGUAAACCGCUUUCGCCUGUGACGAAGCGUGAGUGACGGUAAUGGGUAAAGAAGCACCGGCUAACUACGUG